ACCCAGGGGAAGAAAGCGGGAGGUCUCCAAGCUGGCUUUGUAGCCGCACCGCGACGGGCAGCCCCCGCGUGGCUCCCAGACUGCCCUAUCAUUACCUAGGGCAGGGCACCGCCCCCUCUGUCGCUUGCCACCAAACAUUUAGGUGAAAGCUACCCGGCUUCGCAGGGCACCUCCUCUCCCCUCCUGGGAGCCAGUCUGCUGCGACCAUUACCCAGGCGUGCCUUUCUGGCCACCCGAUCUCCAGGCAGAGCUGCACCCUGUCUGUCCAGGACCAUCCCUUCAAAGGAGAGGUCACAUUGUUCCCGAAUUACCCUUCUGCUCUUUGCUAUUCUCCAACGCAGAUAGAGCUAACUCAAUCCCUUUUUCUGCGCUAAAAACCAAAUUCCAUUUUUUUUUCUCCUUAAGAGUGUGUAUGGGGAAGAAUGGAUGAUAAAUUGCCAAUGAAAUGUUCUCUUUGUCAGCUGUUGAGCAAGGUCCUAACAGACACCUGUUCCAGAAUGCCUUUGAUAGAAACGUGCAGGGGCCCUUGUGCUUUAUGCCUUGUGACAAGGGGAUGAGGAAGGAGAGCUCAGGGAAGUGAGCACACAGCCUGGAUCCCAUAGUGAUCCUGGGCCCUACCCAAUCACCCCCCCAACCAAACCAGGUGGAUGCGCUGGCCAGGCCCCACCCAAUACAAGAGACAAGAUACCCAGCUGCAUCAGGUUGGCCUCAUGGAAGCCUGAGAGGUCAUAAAGGACCUGGAGUUCCCUCGCUGUUCCCGUCUCUUGCCAUCUCCAUCAUCCAGGGCCGGUGGUCCACUUUGAGCUCUCUGUGCUCCUUCCUCUGUCUGCCUCAGGAUGAGGGGCAGGAAUAAAAUAACAUGAAGGAAGGAGGAAGCAAGAGGAAUGAGAGAUCACCAUGGCGGGUGUUCACCUGUGUGGACUGCUAAACUCCACUUCCAUCCAAAGGACUGGAGUCAUGGAGAGAUCAGGAACCUGAACAGGAGAACCAGCCCCAGGAGCCUCCUUAACUGAAACACUUAGGAGGGUCUGGUGAAAAGAAGUAAGAUGGAACAGAGUUUGGAAAGGGGUGAAGAAAGAACCAGCACCUAGCACUCUGAGCUUUUGGAUACUUUGUGAGGACAGGACUUUUUUUUUUUUUUUUUUUUUUUUUAAAGAGAUGGGGUCUCCCUGUGUUACCCAGGC